GAGCCUAGGUUAUGAGCCGAUUCACAGAUUUUUGACAGAAUAAUAACUAGUUUUUCAAACUUUUUAAAAUGUGUCCAAUUUGCUUCUAACAGCUAUUUUCAAGCUUCCAAUAGUUAAAGCAUUAAUUGCAGGUAUUUUUGAGGUCAUAGAUGUAAAGAAUUCAAAGGGAGAACUAAGCUUUUGAGUUUAUUGAGUUAUUCUUUGAGAUAUUAAGUAGAACUCAAGAGUGAAAGUGGAAGAAAUUUCAAGAGUGCUUUUAAUUCAAUCCUUCCCACAUUUAUUCAACUCA
rnacentral:lncRNA from 1 species